rnacentral:rRNA from 1 species
UACGUAGGCAGCAAGCGUUGUUCGGAAUUAUUGGGCGUAAAGGGUGCGUAGGCGGCCUGACAAGUCUGAUGUGAAAUCCCUGGGCUCAACCCAGGGCCUGCAUCGGAAACUGUCGGGCUUGAGUAUGGGAGAGGUGAGUGGAAUUUCCGGUGUAGCGGUGAAAUGCGUAGAUAUCGGAAGGAACACCUGUGGCGAAAGCGGCUCACUGGACCAUUACUGACGCUGAGGCACGAAAGCUGGGGGAGCAAACAGG